rnacentral:rRNA from 1 species
ACGGGAGGCAGCAGUGGGGAAUAUUGCACAAUGGGGGAAACCCUGAUGCAGCGAUGCCGCGUGGAGGAAGAAGGUUUUCGGAUUGUAAACUCCUGUCUUAAGGGACGAUAAUGACGGUACCUUAGGAGGAAGCUCCGGCUAACUACGUGCCAGCAGCCGCGGUAAUACGUAGGGAGCGAGCGUUGUCCGGAAUCACUGGGCGUAAAGGGAGCGCAGGCGGAGAUGCAAGCAGUCUGUACAAUACCGGGGCCCAACCCCGGACCUGCAGACUGGACUGUUUCUCUUGGAUAGCUCAGGGGCUGGCGGAAUUCCUGGUGUAGCGGUGGAAUGCGUAGAGAUCAGGAAGAACACCGAUGGCGAAGGCAGCCAGCUGGGGGCUUAUCGACGCUCAUGCUCGAAAGUGCGGGUAGCAAACAGGAUUAGAUACCCUGGUA